rnacentral:rRNA from 1 species
CCCUUAGAUGUCCUGGGCCGCACGCGCGUUACACUGAUGCAUUCAACGAGCUUAUAACCUUGGCCGAGAGGCCUGGGCAAUCUUGUUAACGUGCAUCGUGAUAGGGAUAGAUUAUUGAAAUUAUUAAUCUUGAACGAGGAAUUCCUAGUAAACGCAGAUCAUCAAUCUGCAUUGAUUACGUCCCUGCCCUUUGUACACACCGCCCGUCGCACCUACCGAUUGGAUGGUCCGGUGAAGCCUCGGGAUUGUGGUUCUUGCCGCUUUGUUGUGGCGUGACCGCGAGAACUUGUCUAAACCUUAUCAUCUAGAGGAAGGUGAGGUCGUAACA